UUGGAGGGCAAGUCUGGUGCCAGCAGCCGCGGUAAUUCCAGCUCCAAUAGCGUAUAUUAAAGUUGUUGCAGUUAAAAAGCUCGUAGUUGAAUUUCGGAAUCUGUCCGUCGGUCGGGCUUCACUGUCCGUACUGGUGUGAUGGGUUUCUACCUUCUGAAUAACCGGCAUGUCAUUAAUUUGGUGCGCCGGGGAAGCAGAACUAUUACCUUGAAAAAAUUAGAGUGCUUAAAGCAGGCUAUCGCCUGAAUAGAUUAGCAUGGAAUAAUAAAAUAGGACGGCAUGGUUCUAUUUUGUUGGUUUCUAGGAUCACCGUAAUGAUUAAUAGGGAUAGCUGGGGGCAUUAGUAUUCAAUUGUCAGAGGUGAAAUUCUUGGAUUUAUUGAAGACUAACUUCUGCGAAAGCAUUCGCCAAGGAUGUUUUCAUUAAUCAAGAACGAAAGUUAGGGGAUCGAAGACGAUCAGAUACCGUCGUAGUCUUAACCAUAAACUAUGCCGACUAGGGAUCGGACGAUGUUAAUUUUUUAAUGACUCGUUCGGCGCCUUACGGGAAAC
rnacentral:rRNA from 1 species